GGAAACUCCCCGUCACACAACAGAAUUCAAUAAGUAUUUGAUGAGAGAAAGAAUUAUUGAAAAAUAAAUCCACGUGAUUGUGUAAAAUCUGUAAUCCAUAUAGCUUUCACCUCACAGGUGAAAACUGGCAGACUUGCUCUGUGUGCUAGCUAUGGAGAUGAAGAUGUGAACCAGAGGGUUGCCUUCUCUGGCCUCGGGGAGUUUGCAGUAUAUCGGGACAACAAACAGGUGUCCAACGUCAUGCUAGAGUUACAGCAGUGUGUGGCAGGUGGGCUCAUUGACCUGCAGAGGCUGGUGACAUCCAAGGAGGAUCCAAAAGAAGAGAAACAAUGAGCCAGAUGGAGACCUGGGGACACACUGUCCAGGCAGAGGGGAUGGUGUGGGAAAGUACUUAGGGUUAGAGGAGGAGGUGGAAGAGUUGGAAGUACAAAAUAAUAAAUGUGCAAAGCAAUGGAAAAUUCUCCAGAUAUUCCAAAAAGACCAAAGAACAGUAAAUGGAUGGAAAUCACAGAAACAAAAUCACAGAAAUCACAGAAACAGAAACAGCUGUUGGGUGGAUGUGUCCAUGACUUCUCAUCUGGAAUUAGCCUGUGGAUGUGUCCUCUCCAGCCAAUCCCUUCUUAAAGAACCAUCGUGACCCUUGGAAUACUGGUGGGGUCUAGUAGAUCUACCCAUCACCCAUGGGGUCCCCAUAGCAUGACGGCCAAAGACCGGUUACCACUCAAGAAAGAAGCUUCUGAAAAGCCUUUCUCCUAGACACCAG
ensembl:lncRNA